CCUACGGGAGGCAGCAGUGAGGAAUAUUGGUCAAUGGGCGCGAGCCUGAACCAGCCAAGUAGCGUGAAGGAUGACUGCCCUACGGAUUGUAAACUUCUUUUAUCAAGGAAUAAAGUUAGACACGGGUGCCUUUUUGUAUGUACUUUAUGAAUAAGGAUCGGCUAACUCCGUGCCAGCAGCCGCGGUCAUACGGAGGAUCCGAGCGUUAUCCGGAUUUAUUGGGUUUAAAGGGAGCGCAGAUGGGUUGUUAAGUCAGUUGUGAAAGUUUGCGGCUCAACCGGAAAAUUGCAAUUGAUACUGGCAGUCGUGAGUACAGUUGAGGUAGGCGGAAUUCGUGGUGUAGCGGUGAAAUGCUUAGAUAUCACGAAGAACUCCGAUUGCGAAGGCAGCUUACUAAACUGACACUGACACUGAUGCUCGAAAGUGUGGGUAUCAAACAGGAUUAGAUACCCGGGUAGUC
rnacentral:rRNA from 1 species